rnacentral:lncRNA from 1 species
ACAUUUGCUCCAUCCUUGAGCUCCAUAGCCCCGCCGCCACCUGCUACUGACGCGUGUCCCGCCUCCAAGCCCAUGGCCCUGCCUUCCUCAGUCCACCUGUCACCCCGCUCACCACCAGCUGUUGAUGUUUGCUCCGCCCUUGAGCCCCAUGACUACGUCCACUGCCUGCUGUUCGGAUUUGCUCAGUCCUUGAGCCCCAUGGCCCCGCCCACUGCUCCGCCCCCCCCAGUCCCGCCCUCAUUCCCUGGGCUCUCUAUUCCCCUCCCUCCCUGGCCUGGCAGAGCUGGACCUGCAGCGGACGCUGAGUUUGCAGGCGCCACCUGUGAAGGAGGGGCCACUCUUCAUCCACAGGACCAAGGGCAAGGGCCCCCUCAUGUCCUCCUCCUUCAAGAAGCUCUACUUCUCCCUCACUACCGAGGCCCUCAGCUUCCCGAAGACGCCCAGCUCCAAGGGCUCUGGUGGCGGCAGCGGCGGACACUUGGGGUCUGGACGCAACGGCGGCGGGAGCAUGAAAGCCCUUCCAGCCUUCGAGUCGUUCUUGCUCUUCGAGGGCGAGAAGAAGUAAGUGACGCCGGCUGCGGCGGGCCGAGGUGCGCGGGCCUGCGGCUGUCGCAUUCUGGGGUGUCUCCUGCCCAUCUCUUUCCCCGGGAGGGAAACAGCUUUUGCUUGAUCGUCCGCUCGGCCUGUGUCAGCCAAAUUUAAGGCCGUUCCGCGAGGCAGUCGCGAGUGUGUCCAUUUUGCAGAUGAGGACACUGAGGCUUGGAGGCGAGCAAGUUGCCCCGGACACAGGAAGUGGCGGCGCUUGUAUUCGAACCCAGAGUGUCUGGUUCUCCAUAGCCCUUUUCCUCUGGGAUCUGGCAGCUUCCUCUUUUGUCUCUCGCCCGCCACCUCCAUCCUUCAUCCCCUCCGAUCUGUCAGCGGCCUGCGUAAAAGCCGCGGUGGCUCCUCGCUGCCUGCGGGUUGAAGGAGUCCAGGGGAGAGAGCUUGGGCUCACUCUGUAUCUGUGGGCGAGUGGCUUGAUCUGUCGGAGGCCCUGUUUCCUCAUCUGGAAAAUGAGUUUAUUACUGUACUUAAACGUGGGAUUCAGGCCGGGUGCGGUGGCUGACACCUGUAAUCC